rnacentral:rRNA from 1 species
ACCCUGACCGAGCAACGCCGCGUGAGUGAAGAAGGGUUCGGAUGCGUAAAGCUCUGUUGUAAGAGAAGAACGAGUGUGAGAGUGGAAAGUUCACACUGUGACGGUAACUUACCAGAAAGGGACGGCUAACUACGUGCCAGCAGCCGCGGUAAUACGUAGGUCCCGAGCGUUGUCCGGAUUUAUUGGGCGUAAAGCGAGCGCAGGCGGUUAGAUAAGUCUGAAGUUAAAGGCUGUGGCUUAACCAUAGUACGCUUUGGAAACUGUUUAACUUGAGUGCAGAAGGGGAGAGUGGAAUUCCAUGUGUAGCGGUGAAAUGCGUAGAUAUAUGGAGGAACACCGGUGGCGAAAGCGGCUCUCUGGUCUGUAACUGACGCUGAGGCUCGAAAGCGUGGGGAGCAAACAGGAUUAGAUACCCUGGUAGUCCACGCCGUAAACGAUGAGUGCUAGGUGUUGGGUCCUUUCCGGGACUCAGUGCUGCAGCUAACGCAUAAGUAUUCCGCCUGUGGA